rnacentral:tRNA from 4 species
GGGGAUGUAGCUCAGUUGGCUAGAGCGCUUGACUGGCAGUCAAGAGGUCGUGGGUUCGAGCCCCAUCUUCUCCA